rnacentral:rRNA from 1 species
CCUACGGGAGGCAGCAGUGGGGAAUAUUGCACAAUGGGGGGAACCCUGAUGCAGCAACGCCGCGUGGGUGAAGACGUCCUUCUGUAUGUUAAGCCCUUUCAGCAGGGAAGAAAAUGACGGUACCUGACCACUAUGCCCCGGCUAACUACGUGCCAGCCGCCGCGGUACUACGUAGGGGGCAAGCGUUAUCCGGAUUUACUGGGUUUAAAGGGAGCGUAGACGGCAAGGCAAGUCUGGGGUGAAAGCCCGUGGCUCAACCACGGGACUGCUUUGGAAACUGUGUGGCUGGAGUGCAGGAGGGGUAAGCGGAAUUCCUGGUGUAGCGGUGAAAUGCGUAGAUAUUACGAGGAACACCGGUGGCGAAGGCGGCUUACUGGACUGUAACUGACGUUGAGGCUCGAAGGCGUGGGGAGCAAACAGGAUUAGAUACCCCUGUAGUC